GCCAGCGACCAUACCACGUUGAAUACACCAGUUCUCGUCCGAUCACUGAAGUUAAGCAAUGUCGGGCGUGGUUAUUACCUGGAUGGGUGACCGCCUGGGAACACCGCGUCGUGCCGUGGGAC
rnacentral:rRNA from 1 species